rnacentral:rRNA from 1 species
UCAAGCUACAAAGGGCGCAGGGCGAAUGCCUUGGCAUCAGAGGCCGAAGAAGGACGCGGUAAGCUGCGAAAAGCUGCGGGGAGUGGCAAGCACACAUCGAUCCGCAGGUGUCCGAAUGGAGCAAUCCGGCAGGGGUAAUAUCCUGUCACCGUACGGUGAAUACAUAGCCGUGCGGGGGGAACCGCCUGAACUGAAACAUCUAAGUAGGGCGAGGAAAAGAAAUCAAACGAGAUUCCGUGAGUAGUGGUGAGCGAAAUCGGAAGAGGCUAAACCAAAGGUAGAAAUACCUCUGGGGUUAUGGACUGCAUAACGCAUGAGAAUUGGUAGUCGAAGGGCAUGGGAAGGCCCACCAGAGAGUGUGAGAGUCACGUAGACGGCAUCGAUUCGAAGCCGGCAGGAUCCAGAGUACCGCGGAGCACGUGGAAUUCCGUGGGAAGUCGGGGGGACCACCCUCCAAGCCUAAAUACCAUCUGAUGACCGAUAGCGAAUAGUACUGUGAAGGAAAGGUGAAAAGCACCCCGGGAGGGGAGUGAAAGAGAACCUGAAACCCUGUGCCUACAAGCACCUAGAGCACGUCAAAGUGUGAUAGGGUACUUUUUGUAGAACGGUCCGGCGAGCGAUUGUACGCAGCAAGGUUAAGGUCUUCAGGACUGGAGCCGAAGCGAAAGCAAGUUUGAAAAGGGCGUUAAGUUGCGUGCAAUGGGCCCGAAACCGGGUGACCUACCCAUGAUCAGGCUGAAGUGGAAGUAAAAUUCCAUGGAGGGCCGAACCGACCUCCGUUGAAAAGGCGGCGGAUGAAUUGUGGGUAGCGGAGAAAUUCCAAUCGAACCCGGAUAUAGCUGGUUCUCCCCGAAAUAGCUUUAGGGCUAGCCUCGAAUGUAGAUUUCUGGAGGUAAAGCACUGAACGGCCUAGGGGGCGAAAGCCUACCGAAGCCUAUCAAACUCUGAAUGCCAGAAAAUUUUGUUCGGGAGUCAGACUGUGUGAGAUAAGUUUCAUGGUCAAAAGGGAAACAGCCCAGAUCCACAACUAAGGUCCCUAAUUACGUUUAAGUGGGAAAGGAUGUGGAAUCGCUAAAACAACCAGGAUGUUGGCUUAGAAGCAGCCAUACAUUUAAAGAGUGCGUAAUAGCUCACUGGUCGAGUGGUUCUGCGCCGAAAAUUUAACGGGGCUAAAACGUAAACCGAAGUUUGGGCAGUAUAGAUUUAUACUGGGUAGGGGAGCGUCGAAUAAUGGGGUGAAGCAUGAGCGGAAGCGCGUGUGGACUUUAUUCGAGUGAGAAUGCCGGAAUGAGUAGCGCGAAUUAUGUGAGAAUCAUAAUGGCCGAAAGUCUAAGGUUUUAGGAGGAAGGUUCGUCCGCUCCUAGUAAGCCGGGAGCUAAGGUGAGGCCGAGAGGCGUAGCCGAUGCACAUAAUGUUGAAAUUCAUUAGCCUCCAAAAGAUUUAAGCAGAGGGAAGCCCUUGAAGGGACUGAGCCGGGCGUUGGUAGACCCGGUCGUAAGGGAGCGAAAUUAAGUAGCGAAGCAGUCAUGGAAGGGGACGAGAAAAGCUCUGUGUAUAUCUUCGGAGCCCGUACCGCAAACCGACACAGGUAGACAGGAAGAGGAUUCUAAGGCCAACGGGAGAAGGGUUGUUAAGGAACUCGGCAAGUUGACCCCGUAACUUCGGAAUAAGGGGUGCUCACGAGAGUGAGCCGCAGAGAAUAGGCCCAGGCAACUGUUUAUCAAAAACACAGGUCUCUGCUAAAUCGAAAGAUGACGUAUAGGGGCUGACACCUGCCCGGUGCCGGAAGGUUAAGAGGAGAAGUGAGAGCUUUGAAUUGAAGCCCCGGUAAACGGCGGCCGUAACUAUAACGGUCCUAAGGUAGCGAAAUUCCUUGUCAGGU